ACUCAAAGGAAUAGACGGGGACCCGCACAAGCGGUGGAGCAUGUGGUUUAAUUCGAUACAACGCGCAGAACCUUACCAAGGUUUGACAUGGAGGGCAAAGUUGAAGAAACUCGACAGAGGUUAUCCCGACACAGGUGGUGCAUGGUCGUCGUCAGUUCGUGCUGUGAAGCGUAUACUUAAGUGUUAGAACGAACGCAACCCUCAUAUUUAGUUGCUACCAUUUAGUUGAGAACUCUAAAUAAACUGCCAAGGCAACUUGGAGGAAGGAGAGGAUGACGUCUGAUCAUCAUGCCCCUUAUACCUUGGGCUACACACGUGCUACAAUGGUUAGGACAAAGGGUUGCCAACCCGCGAGGGGGAGCUAAUCCAAAAAACUAACCUCAGUUCGGAUUGGAGUCUGCAACUCGACUCCAUGAAGUCGGAAUCGCUAGUAAUCGUGAAUCAGCAAUGUCACGGUGAAUACGUUCUCGGGUCUUGCACACACCGCCCGU
rnacentral:rRNA from 1 species